rnacentral:tRNA from 1 species
GCCUUCGUGGUGUAAUGGUCAGCACACUGAGCCAGUAUUUUAGAGGUCUGUGGUUCGAUCCCCGGCGAAGGCA